ACGAACGCUGGCGGCGUGCUUAACACAUGCAAGUCGAACGGAAAGGCCCCUUUGGGGGUACUCGAGUGGCGAACGGGUGAGUAACACGUGAGUAACCUGCCCUUGACUUCGGGAUAACUUCAGGAAACUGGGGCUAAUACCGGAUAGGAAUCCUUGCUGCAUGGUGGGGGUUGGAAAGCUUCGGCGGUUUUGGAUGGACUCGCGGCUUAUCAGCUUGUUGGUGGGGUAGUGGCUUACCAAGGCUUUGACGGGUAGCCGGCCUGAGAGGGCGACCGGCCACAUUGGGACUGACAUACGGCCCAGACUCCUACGGGAGGCAGCAGUGGGGAAUAUUGCACAAUGGGCGGAAGCCUGAUGCAGCAACGCCGCGUGCGGGAUGACGGCCUUCGGGUUGUAAACCGCUUUCAGCAGGGGCGAAGCUUGUGGUGACGGUACCUGCAGAAGAAGCACCGGCUAACUACGUG
rnacentral:rRNA from 1 species